UACGAAGGGGGCUAGCGUUGCUCGGAAUCACUGGGCGUAAAGCGCACGUAGGCGGCUUCUUAAGUCAGGGGUGAAAUCCUGGAGCUCAACUCCAGAACUGCCUUUGAUACUGGGAGGCUCGAGUCCGGGAGAGGUGAGUGGAACUGCGAGUGUAGAGGUGAAAUUCGUAGAUAUUCGCAAGAACACCAGUGGCGAAGGCGGCUCACUGGCCCGGUACUGACGCUGAGACGCGAAAGCGUGGGGAGCGAACAGG
rnacentral:rRNA from 1 species